rnacentral:rRNA from 1 species
GACGAACGCUGGCGGCGUGCUUAACACAUGCAAGUCGAACGGAAAGGCGCUGCGUUUGCGGGGUGCUCGAGUGGCGAACGGGUGAGUAACACGUGAGUAACCUGCCCUUGACUUUGGGGUAACUUCAGGAAAAUGGGGCUAAUACCGGAUAGGAGCUCCUGCUGCAUGGGGGGGGUUGGAAAGUUUCGGCGGUUGGGGAUGGGCUCGCGGCUUAUCAGCUGGUUGGUGGGGUAGUGGCUUACCAAGGCUUUGACGGGUAGGCGGCCUGAGAGGGUGACCGGCCACAUUGGGACUGAGGCACGGCCCAGACUCCUACGGGAGGCAGCAGUGGGGAAUAUUGCACAAUGGGCGGAAGCCUGAUGCAGCAACGCCGCGUGCGGGAUGACGGCCUUCGGGUUGUAAACCGCUUUCGCCUGUGCCGAAGCGUGAGUGACGGUAAUGGGUAAAGAAGCACCGGCUAACUACGUG